rnacentral:rRNA from 1 species
UACGUAGGCAGCAAGCGUUGUUCGGAGUUACUGGGCGUAAAGAGUGCGUAGGCGGUCCUGUAAGUUUGGUGUGAAAUCUCCCGGCUCAACUGGGAGGGUGCGCCGAAGACUGCAGGGCUUGAGUAUGGGAGAGGUAAGCGGAAUUCCCGGUGUAGCAGUGAAAUGCGUAGAGAUCGGGAGGAACAUCAGUUGCGAAGGCGGCUCUCUGGACCAGCACUGACACUGAGGCACGAAAGCGUGGGGAGCAAACAGG